UACGUAGGAUGCAAGCGUUGUCCGGAAUUAUUGGGCGUAAAGAGCGAGCAGGCGGUCUGGAAAGUUGGACGUGAAAUUUUAGGGCUUAACCCUAAAGGGUCGUCCAAAACUCCCAGACUAGAGUGCAGGAGAGGAAAGCGGAAUUCCCGGUGUAGUGGUGAAAUGCGUAGAGAUGUGGAGGAACACCGAUGGCGAAGGCAGCCCCCUGGGUCAAGAUUGACGCUCAUGCACGAAAGCGUGGGGAGCAAACAGG
rnacentral:rRNA from 1 species